rnacentral:rRNA from 1 species
GAUGAACGCUGGCGGCGUGCCUAACACAUGCAAGUCGAGCGAUUCUCUUCGGAGAAGAGCGGCGGACGGGUGAGUAACGCGUGGGUAACCUGCCCUGUACACACGGAUAACAUACCGAAAGGUAUGCUAAUACGAGAUAAUAUGCUUUUAUCGCAUGGUAGAAGUAUCAAAGCUCCGGCGGUACAGGAUGGACCCGCGUCUGAUUAGCUAGUUGGUAAGGUAACGGCUUACCAAGGCGACGAUCAGUAGCCGACCUGAGAGGGUGAUCGGCCACAUUGGAACUGAGACACGGUCCAAACUCCUAUGGGAGGCAGCAGUGGGGAAUAUUGCACAAUGGGCGAAAGCCUGAUGCAGCAACGCCGCGUGAGCGAUGAAGGCCUUCGGGUCGUAAAGCUCUGUCCUCAAGGAAGAUAAUGACGGUACUUGAGGAGGAAGCCCCGGCUAACUUCGUGCCAGCAGCCGCCGUAACAC